rnacentral:rRNA from 1 species
GAUGAACGCUGACAGAAUGCUUAACACAUGCAAGUCGAUGGGGAAGUGGUGCUUGCACCAUGGCAACCAUGGCGGACGGGUGAGUAACGCGUAAGGGACUUACCUGCAGGACUGGGAUAACAGGGGGAAACUCCUGACAAGACCGGAUAAUGUCAUGGGGCUGCAUGGCUUUAUGAUGAAAGGAGACGCCUGCGGAGAGCCUUGCGUCCUAUUAGCUAGUUGGUGAGGUAAUGGCUCACCAAGGCGAAGAUAGGUAGCCGGCCUGAGAGGGUGGACGGCCACAAGGGGACUGAGAUACGGCCCUUACUCCUACGGGAGGCAGCAGUGGGGAAUAUUGGACAAUGGGGGCAACCCUGAUCCAGCAAUUCUGUGUGCACGAAGAAGGUUUUCGGAUUGUAAAGUGCUUUCAGCAGGGAAGAAGUAAGUGACGGUACCUGCAGAAGAAGCGACGGCUAAAUACGUG